GGGGCUGUAGCUCAGUGGCAGAGCACUUGCCUAGCAUGUAUGAGGCACUGGGUUCAAACCUCAGCACCACA
rnacentral:tRNA from 1 species